UGCAGAAUCCCGUGAACCAUUGAGUCUUUGAACGCAAGUUGUGCCGGAGGCUAUCCAGCCGAGGGCAUGCCUGCCUGGGCAUCA
rnacentral:rRNA from 1 species